AACUCUUAGCGGUGGAUCACUCGGCUUGUGCGUCAAUGAAGAAUGCAGUUAACUGUGAGAAUUAAUGUGAAUUGCAGGAAAAACUGAUCAUCGACACUUCAAACGCACUUGCGGGCCCAUAUUCCUCCCAGGGCUACGCCUGUCUGAGCGUCU
rnacentral:rRNA from 1 species